AAUAUUGUUUGUUUUGUUUAAUGUUUAAGAUAAUGUAUAUAUAGAUUUUAAUUGUUAUAUCUAGGAUUUCACCCGUAGUAUAUCGUUUCGUAUUAUUAUCGAUCCAAACCCGUCAUACCAUCUAAUCCUGCACAGUGAAAUUAAACAUAUCUAAUGGAUUUCACUUGUCUUGUAAUACUAUCGACCAAACCCGUCCUACCACUACACCCGUUCGGUAAAAUUAGACAUUAUUUUGUUAUUUUUGUUUUAAUAAUACUUUAAUUUAAAAAAUAUUUAAUUCAAAUCAAUUUAAAAGUUUUAUUUUGAAUGGUUAUUUAAUUGUUGUAAAGUUUAUAUAUUAUAAUAUUAUAAACACGUCCUACCAUCUAGUCCUACUAUCUAAUCCUAUUCGGUAAAAU
rnacentral:sRNA from 1 species